GAUGAACGCUGGCGGUGUGCCUAACCUAUGCAAGUCGAGCGAGGCCUUGAGCCGAGCGGCGGACGAGUGAGUAACACGUACCUAAUCUACCUAUAAGUGGGGAACAACCGCCCGAAAGGGUGGCUAAUACCGCAUGUGCUCUACGGAGUAAAGCUUUUGCGCUUAUAGAUGAGGGUGCGUCCUAUCAGCUAGUUGGUGAGGUAAUUGCUUACCAAGGCUAUGACGGGUAGCUGGUCUGAGAGGAUGAUCAGCCACGCUGGGACUGAGAUACGGCCCAGACUCCUACGGGAGGCAGCAAGUGGGAAUAUUGCACAAUGGGCGAAAGCCUGAUGCAGCGACACCGCGUGAAGGAUGAAGGUUUUCGGAUCGUAAACUUCUUUUAUAGAGCACCAAGAUAUGAGGGCUCUACGAACAAGCACCUGCUAACUACGUGCCAGCCGCCGCCGUAACAC
rnacentral:rRNA from 1 species